rnacentral:rRNA from 2 species
AGCUCCAAUAGCAUAUAUUAAUGUUGUUGCAGUUAAAAAGCUCGUAGUUGGAUUUCUGCAGGAGUGUCAAUGUCCACCCACGUGUGAGUUGCAGCGACGCUCCUGCAUCCUUCGGUUACCUCCGCUCGGCAUUCACUUGCCGGCGGUUGGCUCCGAAUAUUUACCUUGAGAAAAUUAGAGUGUUUCAGGCAGGCUAAGCCGGAAUACAUUAGCAUGGAAUAAUAGAAUAGGACUACGGUCUCGUUGUUGGUUUGAGGGACUGGAGUAAUGAUUAAUAGGGAUAGUUGGGGGCAUUAGUAUUUAAUUGUCAGAGGUGAAAUUCUCAGAUUAACUAAAGACUAACUUAUGCGAAAGCAUUUGCCAAGGAUGUUUUCAUUA